rnacentral:rRNA from 1 species
AACUCUGAUGCAGCGAUGCCGCGUGAGUGAAGAAGGCCUUUGGGUUGUAAAGCUCUUUCGUCGGGGAAGAAAAUGACUGUACCCGAAUAAGAAGGUCCGGCUAACUUCGUGCCAGCAGCCGCGGUAAUACGAAGGGACCUAGCGUAGUUCGGAAUUACUGGGCUUAAAGAGUUCGUAGGUGGUUAAAAAAGUUGGUGGUGAAAGCCCAGAGCUUAACUCUGGAACGGCCAUCAAAACUUUUUAGCUAGAGUAUGAUAGAGGAAAGCAGAAUUUCUAGUGUAGAGGUGAAAUUCGUAGAUAUUAGAAAGAAUACCAAUUGCGAAGGCAGCUUUCUGGAUCAUUACUGACACUGAGGAACGAAAGCAUGGGUAGCGAAGAGGAUUAGAUACCCUCGUAGUCCAUGCCGUAAACGAUGUGUGUUAGAUGUUGGAAAUUUAUUUUCAGUAUCGCAGCGAAAGCAAUAAACACACCGCCUGGGGAGUACGACCGCAAGGUUAAAACUCAAAUGAAUUGACGGGGACCCGCACAAGUAGUGGAGCAUGUGGUUUAAUUCGAAGAUACGCGCAGAACCUUACCAACACUUGACAUGUUCGUCGCGACUCUAAGAGAUUAGAGUUUUCGGUUCGGCCGGACGAAACACAGGUGCUGCAUGGCUGUCGUCAGCUCGUGUCGUGAGAUGUUGGGUUAAGUCCCGCAACGAGCGCAACCCUUACUUUUAGUUGCCACCAUUUAGUUGGGCACUCUGAAAGAACUGCCAGUGAUAAGCUGGAGGAAGGUGGGGAUGACGUCAAGUCCUCAUGGCCCUUACGUGUUGGGCUACACACGUGCUACAAUGGCAUUUACAAUAGGAAGCAAGACGGCGACGUCAAGCAAAUCCU